GCUCCCUUGGCGCAAUGGAUAGCGCGCCAGACUUCUAAUCUGGAGGUUGCGAGUUCGACCCUCGCAGGGAGUA